UAAAAGCGGGUGCUGUCAUGAGCACGUUGGGCAGCUUGAUUGCUCUACAUGUGGAACUGACAUCAAGAUUUUGGAAGCAUAAUGUGCUGGUAUAUGGGCAGCUGGUGACCGUUGGUUCUGGCACCCCC